rnacentral:tRNA from 1 species
UGGGUUGUGACUCAGUGAUAGAGUGCUUGCCUUGCAUGUGUGAGGCACUGGGUUCAAUUCUCAGCAGCACAU